rnacentral:rRNA from 1 species
GACGAACGCUGGCGGCGUGCUUAACACAUGCAAGUCGAACGGAAAGGCCCUGCUUUUGUGGGGUGCUCGAGUGGCGAACGGGUGAGUAACACGUGAGUAACCUGCCCUUGACUUUGGGAUAACUUCAGGAAACUGGGGCUAAUACCGGAUAGGAGCUCCUGCUGCAUGGUGGGGGUUGGAAAGUUUCGGCGGUUGGGGAUGGACUCGCGGCUUAUCAGCUUGUUGGUGGGGUAGUGGCUUACCAAGGCUUUGACGGGUAGCCGGCCUGAGAGGGUGACCGGCCACAUUGGGACUGAGAUACGGCCCAGACUCCUACGGGGGGCAGCGGUGGGGAAUAUUGCACAAUGGGCGGAAGCCUGAUGCAGCAACGCCGCGUGCGGGAUGACGGCCUUCGGGUUGUAAACCGCUUUCGCCUGUGACGAAGCGUGAGUGACGGUAAUGGGUAAAGAAGCACCGGCUAACUACGU